GCCGGGACCUUCGGGCCUGGCGCGAUUGGAUGAGCCCACGUCGGAUUAGCUAGUUGGCGGGUAAAGGCCCACCAAGGCGACGAUCCGUAGCUGGUCUGAGAGGAUGAUCAGCCACACUGGAACUGAGACACGGUCCAGACUCCUACGGGAGGCAGCAGUAGGGAAUAUUGGACAAUGGGCGCAAGCCUGAUCCAGCCAUGCCGCGUGAGUGAAGAAGGCCCUCGGGUUGUAAAGCUCUUUUGUCCGGAAAGAAAAGCGCCGGGUUAAUACCCUGGUGUCCUGACGGUACCGGAAGAAUAAGCACCGGCUAACUUCGUG
rnacentral:rRNA from 1 species